rnacentral:rRNA from 1 species
UACAGAGGUCUCAAGCGUUGUUCGGAUUCAUUGGGCGUAAAGGGUGCGUAGGCGGCGCGGUAAGUCGGGUGUGAAAUCUUGGAGCUUAACUCCGAAACUGCAUUCGAUACUGCCGUGCUUGAGGACUGGAGAGGAGACUGGAAUUUACGGUGUAGCGGUGAAAUGCGUAGAUAUCGUAAGGAAGACCAGUGGCGAAGGCGGCGACCUGGGCCAAUACUGACACUGAGGUGCGAAAGCGUGGGGAGCAAACAGG